GAUGAAGAACGUAGUGAAAUGCGAUAAGUAAUGUGAAUUGCAGAAUUCAGUGAAUCAUCGAAUCUUUGAACGCACAUUGCGCCCCCUGGUAUUCCGGGGGGCAUGCCUGUCCGAGCGUCAUUACAACCCUCAAGCUCAGCUUGGUGUUGGGCCCCGCCGCCCCGGCGGGCCCUAAAGUCAGUGGCGGUGCCGUCCGGCUCCGAGCGUAGUAAUUCUUCUCGCUCUGGAGGUCCGGUCGUGUGCUCGCCAGCAACCCCCAAUUUUUUUCAGGUUGACCUCGGAUCAGGUAGGGAUACCCGCUGAACUUAAGCAUAUCAAUAAGCGGAGGA
rnacentral:misc_RNA from 1 species